rnacentral:tRNA from 1 species
GGCGAGUUGCCGGAGUGGUCUAACGGCGCCGUUUUGAAAACGGAUGGUCGCAGAGAUGCGACACGAGGGUUCGAAUCCUCUCACUCGCCGCCA